rnacentral:piRNA from 1 species
UCCUCACGUUGCCUGGAAAGCACAUUAUGG